CCUACGGGAGGCAGCAGUGGGGAAUAUUGGGCAAUGGAGGCAACUCUGACCCAGCCAUGCCGCGUGAGUGAAGAAGGUUUUCGGUUUGUAAAGCUCUUUCAGAAGGGAAGAUGAUGACGGUAGCAUCCUAAGAAGCCCCGGCUAACUUCGUGCCAGCAGCCGCGGUAAUACGAAGGGGGCAAGCGUUGUUCGGAAUUACUGGGCGUAAAGGGAGUGUAGGCGGUAUAGUAAGAUAGUGGUGAAAUCCCAGAGCUGAACUUUGGAAUUGCCAUUGUAACUGUUAGACUAGAAUUACAGAGAGGACAGUGGAAUACCUAGUGUAGCGGUGAAAUGCGUAGAUAUUGGGUAGAACACCAGUGGCGAAGGCGACUAUCUGGAUGUACAUUGACGCUGAAGCUCGAAAGCAUGGGGAUCAAACAGGAUUAGAUACCCGGGUAGUC
rnacentral:rRNA from 1 species